CUGUUUUCAAAACAAAAAAACGUCUUUGGUGUAGAUUAAUCAACUACUCGCUGAUAAGAAAUGAUAACAAUCACCAGUCCUCCACCGGCUACACCUGCACUUCAGUUUCAAAACAACAAACAGUGUGUACGCAGAGUCGGCGACACUUUUUCUAAAACAAACGCUUUGGUGUGUUAUGAAAAAGCGUACUCUUUUUGUCAAAACGAACAAAGCUAAAAUGUUUACUAAAAACGCGCUAGUACGAUACGCUUCAAUGUGAAACUCGUUUCGCCUUCCGCUACGGGAACCGGCCAUCGUUGUUUGCAUGAUAAAUUAGUUAACUUUAUCGUGGUUGUUCGUUCUCUUUGCCGACCCACACGUUUCCUACCUUACCGAGUGCCCCGAGUGCAUUAAGUGAUAUCGACUUCCGACAGUCGUCUCCUCGAGAACCGCUCUGAUCUCGCCGCAUAACCCGGGCGCCGUGUCUUCCCGCUCGCUGACUUGACCGUAACACGCUACACCCACCGACCGAGCGUGCUUGGAGCGACACCGAUUCCCGUCGACCCGCUCCCGUACGUAAUAACCUGUUGCGCAGUGUCUCGCAAGUUUUCGUAUGAUGAACGGCUACCGACGCAACCGUGUCGCGACGUGAAAUAUUAUCAAGUAUUUCAUUCAUUCUGUCCUAACCUCACGAGGACCUUCUGACGCAAGUGUCAGAUCUUAAACGAAUGUGUGUUCGUGUGAAUGUUGUAUGUUCAUCUCGCCCGCCAGAGUCCCUGCACAAAACCGCCACUAUGACUUGUAUCAAGUUCACUUCACUGGACUCCAAUACUUUACGAGUUUUGACGCUAGCUAUGGAUCAUCAUCACCCCCUCGGUAUCGUAUAGUGCUUUUUUACAGACAAAAAUAAAAAACAAUAAUAAAAAAUUGAAAAUGAGCAUAAAUGUAAUACAACCAAGGCCAGCUUGGAAGGAAUAUUAAAUAAUUGUUCUGAGUCAAAUGUAUCUCAUGCAACAAUAAAUACUGAUUUUAGUGAAAAAGAUGUUGAUGAUGUUAUAACUAAUAGUAUCAAAACAGAAAAUUAUGAAUCUAGUGAUUCUGAAGAUUCUGCAGAAAAUGUCUAUUGAUAAUAAAAAUAAAAACAAAAACGAUAAAAUAUGUGAAUUAGCCUCUACAUCUUAUGAAAAAGAUGUCAAUAUUUCUGAUUCAAAUUUCAGGUAAAAUUGUAAAUAAGUGCAUAUAAGUUCUCCGACAACUACAUUGCCUAUAAUGAAACUAUUAUCACGAAAAUCAGGAUCACAUACUUGCCUUGAAUGCUGUUUAAAAUGUAAAAUCGCUUUUCGUAUACUUGACAGUCCUUUACAUAUAUGUCGAAUACAAAAUAUUGACAAACAAAAUGAAAUUUUAAAAAAUCUUGGUAAUGACAACAUGUAAAAUCUAUGGUGACAAACUAAUAAUACAUUCAACACUGAUAUGCACUGGUCAAUGCACAAAUGUGGAAUUUUGUAUUGAUUGAAAAUAAUCUUCCUUUAAUACUGAAACCAGAUAUGUUCAUAUGUAUUGUAUGACUUGUAAAGGACACAUUUCUAAAACAAAUCCUGGUUUCCCAACUAUUGACUUACCACGUUUACGGAAAUAUAUCCUUAUAUAAGCAAUGCGACUCGUUUAAAAUUAUACGGAGAAUCACAGAAUAACUUGUUCUAUAUAUGUCAAGGAUCAAAAAAUGUGGCAUUUCCCAUUGUUGUUCCUAAGGUUAAAGAAGAAAAACAAUGUGUUCGUUCAACAAAAGAAUCCACAGAUUCAACCUAUACACAAUAUAAACAAUAUAAAAAAUAUACACAAUAUUAACCCAUAGAAAAAUUAUGCUUUGUCGCUAUCUGGCGUGAUGUCAGUAUUAACAAAUUAAAUAAGAGUUUAUGUUGUAUAUCCCUUUGCAGAUCAACAAUAAAUAGUAAUAAAAUUUUUUUUUCAUCAUUAUAAUCUUAUUUUUUUGAUGAAUUUUAAACUUUGUAAUAUAUUUUUGAGA